GUGACAACGAGAGAGAGCACGCUGGAAUGCUUUCACGCAAUAAGCCUGGAUGUGUUCUUGCGUGCCCUUUCCCGUUGUCGC
rnacentral:pre_miRNA from 1 species